CUCUUAUCAAGAGUUGGCAGAGGGACUUGGCCCUAUGACGCCGCAGCAACCGACCAUACUACCAUUGCAAAAUGGGGUGAUUCUAUUCACCUUGGAAUAUUCCAAUAGGGCACGGUGCUAAUUCCAUCAGAAAGGCGAUCUUUCUGACAGAUGAGAG
rnacentral:ncRNA from 2 species